rnacentral:lncRNA from 1 species
UGGAGAUGACGGCCGCCAUAAGAAAAUCAGAAGAGACAUGAGCACACUGCAGAUCUAAAGGAGAACAAAGUGUUUUCAGUUACACACCAGCAGGACUUCCCUCUUUGCACACCCCUGGAGUCUCUUCCAAGUGGAAAAUCACACUCUGUCCUUCAACUGAGAGCAAAGAAGGAAGGACAAGGGGCUGCAAUGGGGAACAAGACCUCAUGGUAUUGAAGGUCCAGCCCUAUAGGUCCUGCAGCCCUACAGGAAUGACCAAAGACAUGGGCCAGCUCUCAGCAUCUACCAGACAAAGCCUGACACCUGUUACAGCCAUGAAUGGCACUGCUAAAGAGGAGGAUUCCUUAAGACUACACAAGCUUUCCAGGUCCCUGAGAAGGAGCUCACAGACACUGCCACUCUGCCUAAGCCGGUGGGGGACUCUGCUGGUGCCAGCCCUUUUCUCCCCGCCAAUGAUUUGGUACAAAGCCAUUUCAUGUCCCAUGCCAAACCAGUAAUUCACAACACUCAUCAAAAUCUGCCUCCAUCAACUGACUCAGCAUUCCUGCUUUCCAAGCACAGCCAACCUCCCUAACACCCUGACAUCCUAGCCUUCAGCUUCACUAUUUACAUCACAUGAGGGCUUUGG